rnacentral:rRNA from 1 species
UACGAGGGGUGCUAGCGUUGUUCGGAUUUAUUGGGCGUAAAGGGCGCGUAGACGGUAUAUUAAGUCAAUUGUUAAAUUCUUCGGCUUAACCGGAGAACAGCGGUAGAAACUGGUAUGCUAGAGGGUGGAAGAGAGAAGUGGAAUUCUCGGAGUAGCGGUAAAAUGCGUAGAUCUCGAGAGGAACACCGAUGGCGAAGGCAGCUUCUUGGUCCACGCCUGACGUUGAGGCACGAAAGCGUGGGGAGCAAACAGG